rnacentral:rRNA from 1 species
CCUACGGGUGGCAGCAGGGAGGAAUAUUGGUAAAUGGGCGCGAGCCUGAACCAGCCAAGUAGCGUGAAGGAUGACUGCCCUACGGGUGGUAAACUUCGUUUAUAAAGGAAUAAAGUGAGGCACGUGUGCCUUUUUGUAUGUACUUUAUGAAUAAGGAUCGGCUAACUCCGUGCCAGCAGCCGCGGUAAGACGGAGGAUCCGAGCGUUAUCCGGAUUUAGUGGGUUUAAAGGGAGCGUCGAUGGGUUGUUAAGUCAGUUGUGAAAGUUUGCGGCUCAACCGUAAAAUUGCAAUUGAUACUGGCAGUCUUGAGUCCCGUUGAGGUCGGCGGCAUUCGUGGUGUAGCGGUGCCAUGCUUAGCUCUCACG